CCUCCAACACACCCCCUGCCCCGCUAUUCGUGAAUCACAAUCCCUCUGAACUCUGAAGCAAAGUUCAAAAUCACCAUACCAAAACCCUAGGUUCUCCCUGCAACGGUUCUGCCGCAGUGCCGCCGCCGUCCGUGCUGUCGGCGCCUCCGCGUCCUCUCUUGUAGCCCAGGCCCUCUCUUGUAGCUCGGUGUCCUCCUUUCCCCUGUCCCCGUCCUCCUUGGCUUCUCCGUUCGAGGUUGGAGCAGCUCGCCGCCGUGUCGCCGCUCGCCGUCCGUGUCUCCGUCGAAGAACUGAGAAGGAAAAUGGCAAUCUGAACCUGCAAAAGGAUUUCCGCAGCGUCAGUGCUCACACUCGCAGGAACAAGAAAACUAACUCUUUUUCUGCCCUCUGGAAAAUUAUCUAGAUGGUUGCUGUUCUACUUGGAGCAAUCACAUUUGGCCUUGGGACUUGGCAGAUUUUUCCGGAGACAAGAUAAGGUGUGUUUUUUCUUAUACUUAGCUGAGCACCUAUAUAUAUAUUGGUGCUCAGCUAAAAGAGUUUCACAAU